rnacentral:rRNA from 1 species
AUGUAAAUUUUAGUGAGAAUAGUUAUUUAUUUAAAUAGUAGAUAAUUUUAUUUUAAUCGCAGUAAUUAGUAUUAUUAAUUAAAGAAAUUUAGAAAUAGUAAUAUUAGAUAGAAUUGGUAAAAUUUGUGCCAGCAACCGCGGUUAUACAAAUAAUGCAAUAAUUAUUUAAAAGAAGUUAAAUGAAUAGUUAAUAAAAUAAAUAAAUAUUUAUUAAGUGAAAUUUUAAAAUAUUUUUGUUUUUAUAUUUAUAUUAAUGAUAAAUUGAAGCUUGAAAAUUUCAAUAAUAAACUAGGAUUAGAUACCCUAUUAUUUGAAAUGUAAAUUGAAAUUUUAAAAUAGUAUUAGUUAUGAGCUUGAAAUUUAAAAAAUUUGGCGGUAUUUUAGUCUAUUCAGAGGAACUUGUUCUGUAAUCGAUAAUCCACGUUGGACCUUACUUAAAUUUGUUAUUCAAUUUAUAUACCGUCGUUAUAAGAAUAUUUUAUAAGAAUAAUAAUUUUCUAUAAUUUAUAUAAAAAUUUAUAUCAGAUCAAGGUGUAGUUGAUGUUUAAAUAGAAAUGAGUUACAAUAAAUUUAUUUAAACGAAUUUAAAUAUGAAAAAUUUAUUGAAGGUGGAUUUGAUAGUAAAAUUAUAAAGAUAAAUAGUUUGAUUUUAGCUCUAAAAUAUGUACAUAUCGCCCGUCGCUCUUGUUAUUAAGAUAAGAUAAGUCGUAACAUAGUAGAUGUA